rnacentral:rRNA from 1 species
UACGUAGGGGGCUAGCGUUGUCCGGAAUCAUUGGGCGUAAAGGGCGUGUAGGCGGUCGAGUAAGUGGGAUGUGAAAUGCUCCGGCUCACCCGGAGUACUGCAUCCCAAACUGCUCGGCUUGAGUAUGGGAGAGGAUGAGGGAAUUCCUGGUGUAGCGGUGAAAUGCGUAGAUAUCAGGAGGAACACCGGUGGCGAAGGCGCUCAUCUGGCCCAAUACUGACGCUGAGGCGCGAAAGCUAGGGGAGCAAACGGG